AUAGUAUAGUAGAUAGUAUUUACGCGCGCGGUUGCUGACUGCUGUUCGCUGCGGUGUGAAUGUGAUGUCCACGAUGAUAGUGCGCCGAUGAUCGGAAAUCCAAGAAUCUUGUAUUUUUCAACAGACACUAAGCGAUUUAGCAAAAAUGAAUUUAAAUGACACUUUCCAAGUAGACGUGUGGAAGGGGGACUGGGGUCUGCCUUCAGUGGAUGUUGAUUGUUUAAAAAUUUUGACUUAUGCCAAGUUCAGUAAUAUUCCAUUGAGCAUCAAAGCCACAAAUAAUCCAUUUGGAUCACCCAAUGGACAGUUACCAGUUCUUAGAUAUAAAAAUAAUUCAUUUUGUACAGUAGAUAAAAUAUUAGAAGUUUUCCGUGAGCAUAAAUACACUCCAGAUAAUGGCAUUACGCGAUCUCAGAAUGCAGACGUUGCUGCUUUCAAUACAAUGCUUGAUGAGUGUAUACGUCCUGCACUUCAAUAUCUUUGGUGGGUGGAUCAACCUAAUCUAAAUCAAGUUAUAAGGCCUUGGUAUUGUAAAGCAUUACCUUUUCCUUUUAAUUUCUAUUAUCCUGGCAAAUAUGAAAAGCAAGCCAAGGACAUGCUGGAAGCGUUGCAUCCAACAAAAGAAGACAAAGCUGCAGAAUCUUCUAUAUACUCAAAAGCACAAAAAUGCUUGACUACUUUAUCAACAAGACUUGGAGAAUCGGAUUACUUUUUUGGUUCAGUACCUACGACUUUUGACGCAUUAGUGUUCUCUUAUCUUGCACCACUCCUCAAAGUACCACUGCCAAGUUGCUCUUUGCAAAACCAUUUAAAGGCUUGUGAAAAUUUAGUAAAGUUUGUUACUCGUAUUUUACAAAAAUAUUUUGAAUAUGACUAUCAAGAGUACGAAAAAUCCAAGACAAAAGAACAAGAAGAGAAAAAAAAGGCAAAUUCUGAUAGUGAAUUUCCAAACAAAAGAAGAAAUCAAAUUCUAGCUGGAAUCUUUGCAGCAGUUGCCAUGCUAGGUUAUGCAUUAUCGACAGGAAUUGUACAGGUAAUAAUGUAUUUAAUAACCAGCAGAAAAUUUCUUAGGCUUGAGAAAGAAGAUUUAAAACAAAUAUCAAAACAAUGAUAAAUUGGGAAAAUGAAAAUAUACCAAUUAAUACUUAGUAGAUAUAGCCAAAUUUGUUUGUUCAAGACAGUGAUUAUGAUUUAGCAGAUUCUAUGAACUAUGUUUAUGAAGAUGAGGAAGAAGACGAUGAAGAUUAGCACUUUUUUUUAAGCACAAGUUUUGUUUUAAUCAAAUGUAAAAUAAAAAAAAAUCGUUUACCAAAAACCAUAGAUAACUUUGUUUAAACAUUUAUUAUAGUGACUUCUAUGUGCUAAAAGAGCAGUUUUUAUGUACAUAUGCAAUUGGAAUGAUUGCACAAUGUUAAAAUAAUUAAUUAGUAUGUAUACACAAAAAGCAAUAAAUUAUUUCUUAUUUCA